rnacentral:lncRNA from 1 species
CAUGGUUUUUCUCGGACAACGGGCGGGGUCCCAAUUUUACAGAAAAUCAGUCGUUUUCCGAUUUUUCAUAUUCACUUAGACGCGUAAUCCGAACGUCUCAAACUCGCCAUCAUAUGAGAUUAGUGAAUUCCGAACUUCAUGAAAUCUUUUUAAUAAUCUGAUAUGGACAGAGAUGCACGAGAUAAAGAAGUCAUUAUUCGUAUAGACAUUCCUUGCUGAGGUCCAUAUUCGCUGCAUCACUGGUGAUAAACCUGGGGUGUUACAAACAUCACUCACAAUCAAAGCGAUUCGUAACCUGCAACAGCAUAGGGAAUAAAACCAUGAGUACGCAAUUACUCAGCAAGACUUAACCGACUAAAGAAAAGACUCUCAAGGGUAUGCUGGUUUGUUAGGAAUCAAGGUAAAGCUCAUCCAAUUUCAAAGACUCGUUUUUGCAAAAGAGCUUACUAGUAGUGAUCCUUAUGCCAAAAUUUUACUUCAUAAGUUACGUACUUUUCCUAAAUCUAGAUUUGCCUAAUCUAGAGCAUUCACUUGUCCUACACUAGCUUCAUUUUAUCAACUUUAUUUUCACUUGUUAUCUACGAUUAGGGUCGAAGAUCCAAUCUUCAAGUACGGCGAUCUAAAUCGAUUAAUACCCAGCUGGGAUCUCCAACCACAUGACAUAUGUAGCACUUAACCCUUGUAUAUGUCAACUUGCACCCUAUUUUCUCAAGACCAGAACGGGUUUACGCGACCCGAGAGUACAGUACCCCACCAUCUAGCCACUUGCAAGGUGGGCACACGUUACUCCCGCCAUCUCUCCACUCCCAGUGCGUGCGAGCUGUUCUGAUAUUGGUCCGGCCGAGGCUAAGCUUACGCAUGAUGAGACAUGUGGCCAGUUAAAAGGUCCUAGAUCAACAGGCCAACAAUCGUUGCGGUACUUAAACGACACAUACGGGUGGCCUAUCCUACUCAAUGUCUGGUCUCAUCUUAUUAUGUAUCUCCCAAAACCAUGUAAGCCCUUCAUCUUAAAACCAAGUUCUUCGCCUCGCCCGAGCUUGGCCUCGGCCACCGACUGGGCCGCGAAUCCCGCAGACAGCCACUCCGCCCGACUGUAGCGCACGUCGAGAGAUGGAUUGGCUAGCGCCUCGGGAAGACUUCUGCAUCAAGCAAGCAGGGGCUCUGAUCUCGAUAAGUGCUACAGGGAAUCUCGACGUAUGUGAGC